rnacentral:rRNA from 1 species
UACAGAGGAGCCAAGCGUUGUCCGGAUUGACUGGGCGUAAAGCGCACGCAGGCGGAUGCGCGCGUGGGGUGUGAAAUCUGGCCGCUUAACGGCCAGGCGCCAUCCCAUACGGCGCGUCUGGAGUGAUGCAGAGGUCGAUGGAAUUGCCGGUGUAGUGGUGAAAUGCGUAGAUAUUAGGAAGAACACCAGUGGCGAAGGCGGCUCACUGGCCCGGUACUGACGCUGAGGCGCGAAAGCGUGGGGAGCAAACAGG